UACAGGGGGGGCAAGCGUUGUUCGGAAUUACUGGGCGUAAAGGGCCAGUAGGCGGCCAACUAAGUCACACGUGAAAUCCCCAGGCUUAACCUGGGAACUGCGUGUGAUACUGGAUGGCUUGAAUUCGGGAGAGGGAUGCAGAAUUCCAGGUGUAGCGGUGAAAUGCGCAGAUAUCAGGAAGAACACCCGUGGCGAAGGCGGCUCUCUGGAACGCAACUGACGCUGAGACGCGAAAGCGUGGGGAGCAAACAGG
rnacentral:rRNA from 1 species